rnacentral:rRNA from 1 species
AAGUUGUGUAGUGCGAUCGGUGGAUGCCUUGGCACCAAGAGCCGAUGAAGGACGUUGUGACCUGCGAUAAGCCCUGGGGAGUUGGUGAGCGAGCUGUGAUCCGGGGGUGUCCGAAUGGGGAAACCUGGAAUGUCCGGAGUAGUGUCCGGUGGCCCUGCCCUGAAUGUAUAGGGGUGUGGGUGGUAACGCGGGGAAGUGAAACAUCUUAGUACCCGUAGGAAGAGAAAACAAGUGUGAUUCCGUGAGUAGUGGCGAGCGAAAGCGGAGGAGGCUAAACCGUGUGUGUGUUCAAGCCGGCAGGUGUUGCAUGUGCGGGGUUGUGGGGGCCUGUGUGAUCCUGCUGCCGUGGGAUCGGCUUGCAUGUGGUGUGAAGUUGAAUCGUCUGGGAAGGCGGACCGUAGUGGGUGAGAGUCCCGUAGACGUGAGUGUCAUGUGUGGUUGUCAGGUUGCCCCAAGUAGCGCGGUACUCGUGGAAUGUCGCGUGAAUCUGGCGGGACCACCCGUCAAGCCUAAAUACUCCUUGGUGACCGAUAGUGGAUGAGUACCGUGAGGGAAGGGUGAAAAGUACCCCGGGAGGGGAGUGAAAGAGUACCUGAAACCGUGUGCUUACAAGCGGUCGGAGCUGCAUUUAUGCAGUGACGGCGUGCCUUUUGUAUAAUGAGCCUACGAGUUGCUCCUGUUGUGCGAGGUUAAGCCCCUAAGGGGUGGAGCCGUAGCGAAAGCGAGUCUGAAAUGGG